rnacentral:rRNA from 1 species
GAUGAACGCUGGCGGCGUGCUUAACACAUGCAAGUCGAGCGAGAAGUUUUGAAAAGAUUCUUCGGAUGAAAUUUAAAAUGGAAAGCGGCGGACGGGUGAGUAACGCGUAGGCAACCUGCCCCAUACAAAGGGAUAGCAUUUGGAAACGAAUAUUAAUACCUUAUGAAACUUAACUAGUGCAUGCUAGGUAGGUCAAAGAUUUAUCGGUAUGGGAUGGGCCUGCGUCUGAUUAGCUAGUUGGUGAGGUAACGGCUCACCAAGGCGACGAUCAGUAGCCGACCUGAGAGGGUGAACGGCCACAUUGGAACUGAGACACGGGCCAAACUCCUACGGGAGGCAGCAGAGGGGAAUAUUGCACAAUGGGGGAAACCCUGAUGCAGCAACGCCGCGUGAACGAUGAAGGCCUUUGGGUCGUAAAGUUCUGUUCUAGGUGAUGAAAACUGACAGUAACCUAGGAGAAAGCCCCGGCUAACUCCGUG